AGCCGGCAGCUUGUUAGGGAAAAGCAGUCCCCCCUCAGGGGUUUCUCCCUGGAGAACUUAAAGGAUCAUGACUGGCAUCUGCAAGGAAAGCAAAUCCAAGAAACUGAGGCAGACCCAGCAAUGCCUUCUGUGACAUAACUUUGGAAGUCACACACAGAGUCCUGAUUCUGUAUGAAAACAUCUCUACAGUUAGGAACUGCACAAGGGGAAGGUUUCUGGAAGCCAUGUUGGCACUGGCUACUACAUCCCACAAGAUCAUGGAGAUACUCAAAUCUCAAUAAGGAGUGGAAAACAAGCCUGAAGGGAGAAGAGAUGGAUGGAAGCCUGGGAGCAGCAGACUCGAGUUCUACGCUUUCCCUCAGAAAUCCUCCCUGCCCUUGGUAGAACACGUGUGUUUAAGGAGUGGGAGAAGAUAAGACCCAGAGCUCUCAGAGACACAACAGCCAGAAAUGUAGGCUUGCCUAUUCAUACAGAAUCAGCAAAGGUGAAGGAAGAGAGAGGCUCAAAAGGCCAGGGUAGGAGCAACUCCUUAAACAAUGCCGAGAGGUCAACUGAAUGAACACAAUCUAAGCAAAGACCUCCUGGUGCCUAUAGAAUCCUACUGGCUUCUGUUAAGAUGUCUGAUAGAUGAGCUAUGUGGUAUUUUAAUAGCAUAGUAUUCUGCAUCAUCAGGUAGGAGCUGGCGCUAAUAUUUUAUUCCCAGCACUUUCCAACAAUAAAUGUGUGAAUAAGUAAACAGGUAUAUGAAUGAAAUUGUCGAUGGUGAGGGGGUAAAGAGUAGUUUCAGUAGAGAGGUGGGCAUAAAAAUCAAACUCCAAUGUCUAAAAUACAUGAUUGACACACAUAUACAUGUAUAUAUACAUACAUAAUACAUACAUACACAAUACAUUCUUUUGUAAGAAAGAAAAAAAAAACCAAGUGUUUCAAUUCUUAAAGUUGAUGGCUUCAAUUGUAAUGGUUUUUAAAAAAAAAUAUGAACUACUAUUGUUUUCUUUAGUUGCUAGUUCAGAAGAUUCUGCUAAGAACACAGCUUGUUUAUUUUGGAUUGUUGGCCAGUGAGACUUCAGGGAGAUUAAAAUUACAAGAAAAGGCCCUGACAGCUAUCUAUGUAAGCAAGGUUAAAACAACAUUAUUCGCAGUCAGCUGCGGUCCUAGGCUUUGCAAAGCCAUGCUGUUGGAAUGCUCAGAGAUUUGGGGACCUGGAGAUCUCGGGGCAGCCAGGUGAGAUUAAUCUGGAGAAGCUUUAGAAAGGAGAUAAAUUUAAGCUGUUUUGAAAGGAGACUAUUCUAGUCAGUUGGCAAAGAGUCUUAGAGCACAGGAUUAGGUAUUUUAAUUUGAUUACUUGCGAUAAUUUGGAGCUACCCCAGUGUUGUGAAGAGACCACGUAAGUGCUUCCUGGAAGAUGUGUCAUCUCCACAGUUCCUACCUCUGAUGUACCAUGUAACUACCUGGAGAGCCCAGAAACGCACUGUUACCGAGGUUGUACCCUAGGUCAGUGCAUCUAGGGAGGUACCCAGGCAUGAGUGGUAUUUUGUGUUUGGUCUUCUCUUUGUUGUUAAGUUCUUAGGGUGAUUCUGAUAGCCAAAAAUGGCAUAAGUUUCUCUGAGUGUAGGGCAAACUGUAAGCAGGUAUAGAACAGGCCAGAAUUAGAAAGGUUAGCAAGAUGGCUGAAACUGGAGAGACCAGCCUAGCCUUGUGUACAGAGAUAAAAGACUGAAAGGAAACUAUUCUGGAGGGAGCCUUGCUCAGGCUGGGCGAUGCUUGUCAGUUGCAAUUUUUCACAAAGCUAUCCUCUAAGAACACAGUAGCUCUUAUGAUGGAUCACUUGGAAAAUGAGCACAUAGGAUGUGAUUUUUAUUUUUAUUUUAUUUUUUUAACAUUUGGGGGCUCUUGCUGUUAGAAAAAUUCCUCUGUUUCUGUAAGAGCACAUUUGGUCAAAGGAGACACACCAUCAUAUAAAGUUUUACUAAUACACUU
ensembl:lincRNA Gm3455 predicted gene 3455